CCUGUGACAACCUGCCCUGUUCCAUGCCAUCGGCAAUGCCCACCGUGUCACGAAGGGCCCUGUGACACACUGCCACCUGCCCUGGGGCCUCCCCCAGCCCAGCCACCUGCCCCAGGGGGCUGUUGGGAGCAGCACCUGGAGCAAUUGGUGGCAGCGUUCGGCAUCUGUCAGAACACAGGAGCACUUUCUCCUUGCAGGAAUGAUUUUUGCAGGGAAGUGAUGACCUGCAGCAGAAAACCACCAUCAGUUGCUGAGUUUCACAUGAAGAUUAGAUUGCUCAGAAAUCCUGUCAAGCUUCCUCGUGUUAUUUGGACUUUUUUUCUGCAUUCUGCAAAAUAAAAGCUGUCCAGUCUGACGUUCAAAGCUCCA